ACCAAGGUGUGCUAGUGAUGAC
rnacentral:miRNA from 2 species